rnacentral:rRNA from 1 species
GGAUUAGAUACCCUGGUAGUCCACGCCUUAAACGAUGUCAACUAGCUGUUGGGGCCGUUAGGCCUUAGUAGCGCAGCUAACGCGUGAAGUUGACCGCCUGGGGAGUACGGUCGCAAGAUUAAAACUCAAAGGAAUUGACGGGGACCCGCACAAGCGGUGGAUGAUGUGGAUUAAUUCGAUGCAACGUGAAAAACCUUACCUACCCUUGACAUGUCUGGAAAGCCGAAGAGAUUUGGCCGUGCUCGCAAGAGAACCGGAACACAGGUGCUGCAUGGCUGUCGUCAGCUCGUGCCG